GCCGCGGUAAUACGAAGGGACCUAGCGUAGUUCGGAAUUACUGGGCUUAAAGAGUUCGUAGGUGGUUGAAAAAGUUGGUGGUGAAAUCCCAGAGCUUAACUCUGGAACUGCCAUCAAAACUUUUCAGCUAGAGUAUGAUAGAGGAAAGCAGAAUUUCUAGUGUAGAGGUGAAAUUCGUAGAUAUUAGAAAGAAUACCAAUUGCGAAGGCAGCUUUCUGGAUCAUUACUGACACUGAGGAACGAAAGCAUGGGUAGCGAAGAGGAUUAGAUACCCUCGUAGUCCAUGCCGUAAACGAUGUGUGUUAGACGUUGGAAAUUUAUUUUCAGUGUCGCAGCGAAAGCGAUAAACACACCGCCUGGGGAGUACGACCGCAAGGUUAAAACUCAAAUGAAUUGACGGGGACCCGCACAAGUAGUGGAGCAUGUGGUUUAAUUCGAAGAUACGCGCAGAACCUUACCAACACUUGACAUGUUCGUCGCGACUUUAAGAGAUUAAAGUUUUCGGUUCGGCCGGACGAAACACAGGUGCUGCAUGGCUGUCGUCAGCUCGUGUCGUGAGAUGUUGGGUUAAGUCCCGCAACGAGCGCAACCCUCACUUUUAGUUGCCAUCAUUAAGUUGGGCACUCUGAAAGAACUGCCAGUGAUAAGCUGGAGGAAGGUGGGGAUGACGUCAAGUCCUCAUGGCCCUUACGUGUUGGGCUACACACGUGCUACAAUGGUAUCUACAACAGGAAGCAAAACUGCGAAGUUAAGCAAAUCCUUAAAAGAUACCUCAGUUCGGAUUGCACUCUGCAACUCGAGUGCAUGAAGCUGGAAUUACUAGUAAUCGUGGAUCAGCGUGCCACGGUGAAUGCGUUCCCGGGUCUUGUACACACCGCCCGUCACACCAUGGGAGUUGGUUCUACCUUAAGGCAAGGUUUAAAACCCUUGACCACGGUAUAGUCAGCGACUGGGGUGAAGUCGUAACAAGGUAGCCGUAGGGGAACCUGCGGCUG
rnacentral:rRNA from 1 species